AAAAUCCUCCAGUCCCGUGUAUUGGACAAUAGCUCGAUCUGCGAGGACUUUAAGUAUCUCCGAGACAGGAGAUUUCUAAAUCCGGGCUUUUUAUUAGAGGUCUUGAAAAACGUAGAUCCUUUAGCAGUUAGAUUUAUACAGCGGAAUCGAUGGCACAGAAGAUGUCAACGUGAAAUUCGACAAAAGAAAAGAAACGAACAGAACCAAACAGACGACCAUACUAGUUUAACAACACUCUAAACCUACGUUAAAGAUAGAAAAAAAUAUUGUAAUUAUAAUUCAUAAAUAAAACUCUUUUAACAAAUCUGUUAAAAAGCUAAUUUCAGCCAGCCAUAUUAUGACAACGUAUAAUGCAUGUUUGUAUUGCAUGUAUGAAUACCAUUUCAAAUGAAUUAAUACCAUUUUAAAAGUCUCCUGAUAAAUUGUAUGUAAAUAUAUUGUGCUAAUUAACAUGUUGUAGUUCAAUAUGUGUCACAAGUCAGGAAUUAUAUAGAAUAUCUUUAUUUUGUUCUCCAUGUACAAAACUGUUGGAAUUUUUAAAAUAAAAAACAAUGUAAAUG
rnacentral:sRNA from 1 species